AAAUUGAAGAGUUUGAUCAUGGCUCAGAUUGAACGCUGGCGGCAGGCCUAACACAUGCAAGUCGAACGGUAGCACAGAGAGCUUGCUCUCGGGUGACGAGUGGCGGACGGGUGAGUAAUGUCUGGGAAACUGCCUGAUGGAGGGGGAUAACUACUGGAAACGGUAGCUAAUACCGCAUAACGUCGCAAGACCAAAGAGGGGGACCUUCGGGCCUCUUGCCAUCAGAUGUGCCCAGAUGGGAUUAGCUAGUAGGUGGGGUAACGGCUCACCUAGGCGACGAUCCCUAGCUGGUCUGAGAGGAUGACCAGCCACACUGGAACUGAGACACGGUCCAGACUCCUACGGGAGGCAGCAGUGGGGAAUAUUGCACAAUGGGCGCAAGCCUGAUGCAGCCAUGCCGCGUGUAUGAAGAAGGCCUUCGGGUUGUAAAGUACUUUCAGCGGGGAGGAAGGGAGUAAGGUUAAUAACCUUAUUCAUUGACGUUACCCGCAGAAGAAGCACCGGCUAACUCCGUGCCAGCAGCCGCGGUAAUACGGAGGGUGCAAGCGUUAA
rnacentral:rRNA from 1 species